GAUGAACGCUGGCGGCGUGCCUAACACAUGCAAGUCGAACGGAGUUAUUAUUAUGAAGUUUUCGGAUGGAUUAAUAAUAACUUAGUGGCGGACGGGUGAGUAACGCGUGGGUAACCUGCCUCAUACAGGGGGGAUAACAGUUGGAAACGGCUGCUAAAACCGCAUAACAUUGCGACACCGCAUGGUGAUGCAAUUAAAUAUUUAUAGGUAUGAGAUGGGCCCGCGUCUGAUUAGCUAGUUGGUGAGGUAAUGGCUCACCAAGGCGACGAUCAGUAGCCGGCUUGAGAGAGUGACCGGCCACAUUGGGACUGAGACACGGCCCAAACUCCUACGGGAGGCAGCAGUGGGGAAUAUUGCACAAUGGGGGAAACCCUGAUGCAGCGACGCCGCGUGAGUGAAGAAGUAUUUCGGUAUGUAAAGCUCUAUCAGCAGGGAAGAAAAUGACGGUACCUGACUAAGAAGCCCCGGCUAACUACGUG
rnacentral:rRNA from 1 species